rnacentral:misc_RNA from 1 species
GAUGAAGAACGUAGCGAAAUGCGAUAAGUAAUGUGAAUUGCAGAGUUCAGUGAAUCAUCGAAUCUUUGAACGCGCAUUGCGCCCGUCAGUAUUCUGACGGGCAUGCCUGUCCGAGCGUCAUUUCAACCCUCAAGCACUGCUUGGCGUUGGCGGAUUGCGUGCCCUCGCGGCGCUGCAACCGCCCAAAUACAGUGGCGGUCCCGCUGCGGCUCCCUUUGCGUAGUAACUCACCUCGCACUGGACCGGGCGGCGGCCUGCCGUAAAACCCCAACUCACGAAAUGUUGACCUCGGAUCAGGUAGGAAUACCCGCUGAACUUAAGCAUAUCAAUAAGCGGAGGA